UACGAAGGGGGCUAGCGUUGCUCGGAAUCACUGGGCGUAAAGGGUGCGUAGGCGGGUUUUUAAGUCAGGGGGUGAAAUCCUGGAGCUCAACUCCAGAACUGCCUUUGAUACUGAAGAUCUUGAGUCCGGGAGAGGUGAGUGGAACUGCGAGUGUAGAGGUGAAAUUCGUAGAUAUUCGCAAGAACACCAGUGGCGAAGGCGGCUCACUGGCCCGGUACUCGACGCUGAGGCGCGAAAGCGUGGGGAG
rnacentral:rRNA from 1 species